rnacentral:rRNA from 1 species
CCCUUAGAUAUUCUGGGCCGCACGCGCGCUACACUGACGAUGUCAGAGAGUGUCUCCUUCACCGAGAGGUGUGGGUAAUCUUUUAAACAUCGUCGUGCUGGGGAUAGAUCAUUGCAAUUUUUGAUCUUAAACGAGGAAUUCCUAGUAAGCGCGAGUCAUCAGCUCGCGCUGAUUACGUCCCUGCCCUUUGUACACACCGCCCGUCGCUACUACCGAUUGAAUGGUUUAGUGAGGCCUUCUGACUGGCGCCGCUACUCUGGCAACAGAGCGGCGGAUGCCGGGAAGUUGGUCAAACUUGAUCAUUUAGAGGAAGUAAAAGUCGUAACA